GCCUGAUCAGCCAUGCCGCGUGGGUGAAGAAGGCCUUCGGGUUGUAAAGCCCUUUUGUUGGGAAAGAAAAGCAGCCGGCUAAUACCCGGUUGUUCUGACGGUACCCAAAGAAUAAGCACCGGCUAACUUCGUGCCAGCAGCCGCGGUAAUACGAAGGGUGCAAGCGUUACUCGGAAUUACUGGGCGUAAAGCGUGCGUAGGUGGUUGUUUAAGUCUGUUGUGAAAGCCCUGGGCUCAACCUGGGAAUUGCAGUGGAUACUGGGCGACUAGAGUGUGGUAGAGGGUAGUGGAAUUCCCGGUGUAGCAGUGAAAUGCGUAGAGAUCGGGAGGAACAUCCAUGGCGAAGGCAGCUACCUGGACCAACACUGACACUGAGGCACGAAAGCGUGGGGAGCAAACAGGAUUAGAUACCCUGGUAGUCCACGCCCUAAACGAUGCGAACUGGAUGUUGGGUGCAAUUUGGCACGCAGUAUCGAAGCUAACGCGUUAAGUUCGCCGCCUGGGGAGUACGGUCGCAAGACUGAAACUCAAGGAAUUUGACGG
rnacentral:rRNA from 1 species